rnacentral:rRNA from 1 species
AGAAGUGAGAAUGCCGGAAUGAGUAGCGCGAAUGCAGUGAGAAUCUGCAUGGCCGAAAGCCUCAGGUUUUUGGAGGAAGGUUCGUCCGCUCCAAGUUAGUCGGGAGCUAAGGUGAGGCCGGAAGGCGUAGCCGAUGCACAGACGGUAGAGAUUCCGUCACCACCAAAAGAGUUAAGCACAGGGACACAUUUGAAGUCUCAGAGCCGGGUGUUGGUUCCGGUAGAGAUCGAGGGAAAUUAGUACCGAAGUCUGGGAUGGAAGAUGGCGAGAAAAGCUGUGUGUAUUUCUGAGGUGCCCGUACCGCAAACCGACACAGGUAGGUAGGAAGAAGAUUCUAAGGCCAACGGGAGAAGGGUUGUUAAGGAACUCGGCAAAUUGACCCCGUAACUUCGGGAGAAGGGGUGCUCCAGAGAUGGAGCCGCAGAGAAUCGGCCCAAGCAACUGUUUACCAAAAACACAGGUUUGUGCUAAAUCGAAAGAUGACGUAUACGAGCUGACGCCUGCCCGGUGCUGGAAGGUUAAGAGGAGAUGUGCAAGCAUUGAAUCGAAGCCCCAGUGAACGGCGGCCGUAACUAUAACGGUCCUAAGGUAGCGAAAUUCCUUGUCAGGUAAGUUCUGACCCGCAUGAAAGGCGUAAUGAUUUGGGCACUGUCUCAACAGCCCGCCCGGCGAAAUUGUAGUACCGGUGAAGAUGCCGGUUACCCGCGACAAGACGGAAAGACCCCAUGGAGCUUUACUGUAGCCUAAUAUUGGGUUUCGAUGUUGCAUGCACAGGAUAGAUGGGACACAGGGAAACAAUCGCUUUGGCGGUUGCGGAGUGGCCGUUGGGAUACCAUCCUUGCGAUAUUGGAAUUCUAACCUGCGGCUCUGAAUCGAGUCGGGGGACAUUGUUAGGUGGGCAGUUUGACUGGGGCGGUCGCCUCCUAAAAAGUAACGGAGGCGUUCAAAGGUUCGCUCAGCUUGAACGGAAAUCAAGCAAAAGAGUGCAAACGCAGAAGCGAGCCUAACUGCGAGACUGACGGGUCGAGCAGUAACGAAAGUUGGAGUUAGUGAUCCGGUGGUAUGUGAGUGGAAAUGCCAUCGCUCAACGGAUAAAAGUUACCCUGGGGAUAACAGGCUGAUCUCCCCCAAGAGUCCACAUCGACGGGGAGGUUUGGCACCUCGAUGUCGGCUCAUC